rnacentral:rRNA from 1 species
GAUGAACGCUAGCGGCAGGCCUAAUACAUGCAAGACGAACGGUAAGUUGAGUAGCAAUACUUAGCCAAGAGUGUCGUACGGGUGCGUAACACGUAUGCAACCUACCCUAUACAGGAGGAUAGCCUAGGGAAACCUGGAUUAACCCUUCAUAGUAUUAUUGGAUGGCAUCAUUUGAUAAUUAAAACUGAGGUGGUAUAGGAUGGGCAUGCGUCUGAUUAGUUAGUUGGCGGGGUAAUGGCCCACCAAGACGAUGAUCAGUAGGGGUUCUGAGAGGAAGAUCCCCCACACUGGCACUGAGAUACGGGCCAGACUCCUACGGGAGGCAGCAGUAGGGAAUAUUGGGUCAAUGGAUGCAAGUCUGAACCAGCCAUGCCGCGUGCAGGAAGAAGGCCUUCUGGGUUGUAAACUGCUUUUGCCAGGGGAUAAAUUUCCAUGCGUGGAAAACUGAAGGUACCUGGUGAAUAAGCCACGGCUAACUACGUGCCAGCAGCCGCGGUAAU